rnacentral:rRNA from 1 species
UACGGAGGGUGCGAGCGUUGUCCGGAAUCACUGGGCGUAAAGGGCGCGUAGGCGGCCGAUCAAGUCGGGGGUGAAAGCCUGUGGCUCAACCACAGAAUUGCCUUCGAUACUGUUUGGCUUGAGACCGGAAGAGGUUAGUGGAACUGCGAGUGUAGAGGUGAAAUUCGUAGAUAUUCGCAAGAACACCAGUGGCGAAGGCGGCUGACUGGUCCGGUUCUGACGC